UACGUAGGGUGCGAGCGUUGCCCGGAUUUAUUGGGCGUAAAGGGCGCGUAGGCGGCCACGCACGUCCGUUGUGAAAUCGCCCGGCUCAACUGGGCGGGGUCAGCGGAUACGGUGUGGCUAGAGCAAGCUAGGGGGCAAUGGAAUUCCCGGUGUAGUGGUGGAAUGCGUAGAUAUCGGGAGGAACACCAGUGGCGAAGGCGGUUACCUGGAGCUUUGCUGACGCUGAUGCGCGAAAGCGUGGGGAGCAAACAGG
rnacentral:rRNA from 1 species